rnacentral:rRNA from 1 species
AGCGAACGCUGGCGGCAGGCCUAACACAUGCAAGUCGAACGAACCCUUCGGGGUUAGUGGCGGACGGUUGAGUAACACGUGGGAACGUGCCUUUAGGUUCGGAAUAACUCAGGGAAACUUGUGCUAAUACCGAAUGUGCCCUUCGGGGGAAAGAUUUAUCGCCUUUAGAGCGGCCCGCGUCUGAUUAGCUAGUUGGUGAGGUAAAGGCUCACCAAGGCUACGAUCAGUAGCUGGUCUGAGAGGAUGACCAGCCACAUUGGGACUGAGACACGGCCCAAACUCCUACGGGAGGCAGCAGUGGGGAAUCUUGCGCAAUGGGCGAAAGCUUGACGCAGCCAUGCCGCGUGGAUGAUGAAGGUCUUAGGAUUGUAAAAUCCUUUCACCGGUGAAGAUAAUGACUGUAGCCGGAGAAGAAGCCCCGGCUAACUUCGUGCCAGCCGCCGCGGUAACAC